CCCGGCCCGCGGGAGAGGCCGGCGCGCGCCGGCGGGCAGGCGGAGGGCGUCUCCGCGCGCCGGGAGCGGGGCGGCCGCGGCCCCCGCGAGCCCCCUGAGCCGCAGAAAAGCUGGGGAAAUACACACGGAUGCAAAAGGCUCUGGCUCGCGUGACCCUAGCCCAGGAGAAGCAGCUGAGUUACCGGACAUCGUUGUCAGCAGAAGUUGGGUCGGUGGCUGGAUGCUGUAGCUGCAGGGAUUCAGCGCCUAGCAGAACUCCUGUGCAAGGAGAGAAGCAGAGAUGCCACAUUUUUAAAGUUUCACAAAGCAUCCAGCUGCACCCAGGUUGCUGGAGCAGGAGACAAACAGAAUUAAUGUUUUAUACCUUCGGGUAUAGGUUUGAGUUUUUUCCCCCUCAUGCCAAGUAUUUAAAACCUCUAGAAACCCA